UACGUAGGGUGCGAGCGUUAAUCGGAAUUACUGGGCGUAAAGCGUGCGCAGGCGGUUUUGUAAGCCAGAUGUGAAAUCCCCGGGCUUAACCUGGGAAUGGCAUUUGGGACUGCCAGGCUGGAGUGUGGCAGAGGAGACUGGAAUUCCCGGUGUAGCAGUGAAAUGCGCAGAUAUCAGGAGGAACACCGGUGGCGAAGGCGGGUCUCUGGGCCGAUACUGACGCUGAGGAGCGAAAGCGUGGGGAGCGAACAGG
rnacentral:rRNA from 1 species